CCGUAUUUAUUUCGACCAGGUUUCGAACGAUUGUUGUGAUGAACUCAAUCUCAAGACUUUAAUAUCUCUACGAGAAGAUGAAACUAAUGCUUAAGAUCACAACCGAUUCAAAUAUUUUUUAAAUUCUCAUAAAGAACGUCGUAAUAAGAUGAUGCAUAUCAAAAACACACCAUUAACCCUGGCUUUCCUUUAGAACAAAUACCGUUUGGACCGUAAUAAAUUUAAGCCAAUUUUUAAAUUUAGUGUUAAGGCUUAAAAAAAGGUAGCCGAUGUGUUCGGCCUCUAAGAAAUUUAUAUAUUAUGUAAGAUAAAUAGAAAACGCCAAGUAAGAGUGAAUUAUUAAAAUUAUAUGUCAUAUUGCUAUAUUUAUUACAACUAAUUGUUUUAGUAUU